GAUGAACGCUGGCGGCGUGCCUAACACAUGCAAGUCGAGCGAUUUACUUCGGUAAAGAGCGGCGGACGGGUGAGUAACGCGUGGGUAACCUGCCCUGUACACACGGAUAACAUACUGAAAGGUAUGCUAAUACGGGAUAACAUAAGAGAGUCGCAUGGCUUUCUUAUCAAAGCUUUUGCGGUACAGGAGGGACCCGCGUCUGAUUAGCUAGUUGGUAAGGUAACGGCUUACCAAGGAGACGAUCAGUAGCCGACCUGAGAGGGUGAUCGGCCACAUGCGAACUGAGACACGCUGCAAACUCCUACGGGAGGCAGCAGUGGGUAAUAUUGCACAAUGGGCGAAAGCCUGAUGCAGCAACGCCGCGUGUGCGAUGAAGGCCUUCGGGUCGUAAAGCUCUGUCCUCAAGGAAGAUAAUGACGGUACUUGAGGAGGAAGCCCCGGCUAACUACGUGCCAGCAGCCGCCGCCG
rnacentral:rRNA from 1 species